AUUGAACGCUGGCGGCAUGCUUUACACAUGCAAGUCGAACGGCAGCGCGGGCUUCGGCCUGGCGGCGAGUGGCGAACGGGUGAGUAAUGCAUCGGAACGUGCCCAGUAGUGGGGGAUAGCCCGGCGAAAGCCGGAUUAAUACCGCAUACGACCUGAGGGUGAAAGCGGGGGACCGAAAGGCCUCGCGCUAUUGGAGCGGCCGAUGUCGGAUUAGCUAGUUGGUGGGGUAAAGGCUUACCAAGGCGACGAUCCGUAGCUGGUCUGAGAAGACGACCAGCCGCACUGGGACUGAGACACGGCCCAGACUCCUACGGGAGGCAGCAGUGGGGAAUUUUGGACAAUGGGGGCAACCCUGAUCCAGCCAUGCCGCGUGCGGGAAGAAGGCCUUCGGGUUGUAAACCGCUUUUGUUCGGGAAGAAAUCCUCUGGGCUAAUACCCCGGGGGGAUGACGGUACCGGAAGAAUAAGCACCGGCUAACUACGUG
rnacentral:rRNA from 1 species